GGGGCGGCGCAGCCCCGCGCGGUUGUGGGAUCGCUCCCGGGGGCCGCUCCUCUCUCGGGCACUGGGGUCGCGGGAGACGUCGUCGGGAGCUCGGUUUCUGGAGGCCCUUCCCCACCCGGCCUCUGCCUCCUCCACUCCCCCGGGCUGGACGGAACGGGGCCCAGCGCGGGAUGCGAGAGGUAUGAUUUCGCUCUGUCGCCCAGGCUGGAGGGCAGUGGCGCAAUCUCGGCUCACUGCAGCCUCGAACUCCUAGGCUGAAGCGAUUCUCCCGCCUCAGCCUCCAAAGUAGCCGGUACUACAGGCGCGCGCCACCACGCCUGGCUAAGGUGUGUGUGUGUGUGUGUGUGUGUGUGUCUCCAAAGUAGCGAGGACUACGGGUGUGUGUGUGUGUGUGUGUCUCCAAAGUAGCGAGGACUACAGGCUCCCGCCACUACGCCAGGCUAAGGUAGGGUGUGUAUGUGUGUUAACUUUUUGUAGAGAUGGGAUCUCCCUUUGUAACACGGGCGCCCGCCACUAAGCCAGGCUAAGGUGGUGAAUGUGUGUGUGUGUGUGUGUUAACUUUUUGUAGAGAUGGGAUCUCGCUUCGUAACCCGGGCUGGUAUCGAACUCCUGUCUUCAAGGAAUCCUCCCGUCUGGACUCCUCCCAUGGGAUUACGGGCAUGAGCCACGGCACCUGGCUAUUUUUUUUUUCUAAGCAUUUAAAUAAGCUGGGGCUUGAUUUGGGAGUUUUCUAUUGUAUUUUGAGCUUUGCCGAGGACUUGAUAGUGACCUUGCUUUAAGCUGUGAAAUAAAUCUUGGGGUCCCAGAGCUAUUUUAAUAUUGAAUUCGCUGUGGAGUUGUUUUGAGUUCCUUGGAGGUUAACAUGAGAUAGAAAACUAAGUUAACACAACUCAUCGACUGCCCUUGCUUUGCUUUGCUUUGCUUUUAGAAUGCCAUCGGGUUUUGUCAUGUUGGGAACAAGUUAACUUAGGCCAGUUGACUAAGAUCAAGGUAUGUGAACAUGCCUGGCUGGGAGAGAAGUAGAGUAAAUGUUGGUUCGCAUUCCCUCCCGACGCCCACAAUGCCAGCCAUCCCUGACUUUUCUUGCCUUUAUUGGGAAGAAUAUAAGGUGGCAGAAACAAACUUCCCACCCUUUUUCCAAAUAUUUACUGAAGGAGUCUUGAGGAGAGUCUUGUGGGGUGGGGGGGUGGGGGUGGGAGCUGGGAAUGUUUUUGAACUAGUUCUUGAAAAAAAAACUAGUACAAUAGUACAACUGUCUUAAUUUUAUAUAUGAGGAAACUGAGGCCCAGAGAUGAAAUCAUGCCUUGAUUUAUGCAGACCUCAGUACCUGUUCGUGACAAAUCCAGUUACUAAAAGGUAAGAGAAGGAAUAAGGGACUUGAUAUUUAUCUAGCAUCAGCAAUGUGUGGACAUCGUGUGAACGGCUUUAUAAACAUUUCAUUUAAUUCUCUACAUCUAGCCAUUUUUUAACCUGUGCUUUCCCUCCCUCUCAAAGUACUGUUUAUACAUUUAUUAGUCCAUAUUUUAAACGCUCCAUGCUCUCAACUGUAUUAAUGCUAUUUGUUAGGAUAAGUGGCAGAUGUCCAUGGAAAAUAAGUGGCUGCAAAGUGGUAAUGCUGACCAGAUGAGAAAAGAAGUGUAAAAGGGAAGUUCUAAAGAAUUAAAGCCCUGGAGAGGGUGGGUAGACAACAACAGUCCAAAAUAGUGCUCUUCAUUGAGGCUGUGUAGAUUUUCCUGCUUCCUGGGAAAACUGGGGCAUAUUUACACUUGCAUGUGUGUAUUCAGAUUGUCUGGGGCUAUGGAGUUUGGGUCAGAUUGCUGAACCCGUGGGAGAGAAGUUCCCUUGUUGUCUGUUGUUGUCUGUUCUGAUUGCUGCUUUGUAAUUUGGGCCACAUAUGAAAGUCAGCAUCCAGUCAUUGGACCAUAGGUGUGUGGCAUAUCUACUCAGAUGCAUUAAGCUAUUUUUAUUUCAUUAUAAAAUGUAUAACAUUUACAUUCAAAUUAUGGUUUGAAGGGCUUAAGAGGAGAAAGAGACAGUGGCACUAAGGUGACAGCAUGGCUGGCUGCAUGCUUCCUGUCCAAGAAGGUCACUGGGCAGUGUUAACUGGGAAGAGCAUCUGGAGGAUGAGAGAUCAGUGUAGCCACAUACCCUUAACAAAGGGUGGUACAGCCUCUGGUCUGCCAGGAUUUUUGUGCCCCGCCCCCCUCCCCCUCUUUCCCUAUCUCCUCUUUGACAUUUCCACCAUAUUCCCCUUAGGUAUGUACCUGUUUGGACUUUAAUUUAGAGUGUAACUUUUGGUCAAGAAUCCUGGAGAGAAAAGACGGGUACUAAAGCCUCGCUAGUGAUUUACCUGGGUGCCGACCCCCACAACUCAUCCACCCUACAUGCAUACUUCAAACUCCUCCAGGCAGAUACUCCCUGCCUGACACACAGUGACACUUUGGGAAAAAUUGCAGAACAGUAACCAACUCUGAGCAGAUAAAUGUGAUGUCAAAAUGAUAGUAAUGAGAGAUGUCGUUCGUUGAAAGCCUGCUAGCUGCCAUGCACUAUACUAUUUCUUACAUCUAAAUCUGAUUAAGUUAUACCCCAUUUUAUAAAUAGACACUUUGAUAAGUAAACCUAUCUAAGAUCAAAAUACUGAGAAAUGUCCUAAUUGGGGAUUUGAACCUGGUUCUAAUUCCAAAGUCCAAGCUACAUCCACCCCAACCUCCUACCUCCUAUCUCCAAGACUUUGUGAGUAAAAAAACAAGUGUCACUUCUCUCCUUCUCUUUUUUCUGUCCUAAAGGAAGCUGGGAGCUAACCACUUAGGACUAGUACUAAUCUUUCAGAGAAAGGGAUGAGGGGAGCCUUGUUAUUUCUGUGGGGUUCAGCUCUCAGACCAGAGUAAGACAGGCAACAAGGUUGAGGAGUAGCCAUAUGCAGAAAUAACCUGUGUAUCUAGCCACAGGAUCUCCAACACUGUGUCACUCGGGAAUCAAAAUACAGAGACAGUUCCUCAAUAGAGUGUGGAUCUAGCCCAGAAUGUGGACAAGGGGAGUGGAGAAGGGGAGAGGUACACACUGAGCAUUGUAACAAGGCCUGUCCUCAAGCUUGAGGAGGAUUAGGAAGAUGGCUUGAGUCUGGGAGUAGGAGGCUGCAGUGAGCUAUGAUUGUACCACUGUACCCCAGCCUAGGUGACAGAGUGAGACCCUGUCUCUUAAAAGAAAAAAAAAAUUGACCUGGAUCUACUCAUACCCACCCUGGUCUUUGAGCAGAAAGAAUCAUUUGGGAAUUAUUUUGUCUCAUCUUUCUCCAUGAUCACUGUUGAAGAAUUUGGUCACUGUAACCAGGUAAAUAUAAAACUCAGGUGGGCCGGGCGCGGUGGUUCACACCUGUAAUCCCAGCAGUUUGGGAGGCUGAGGUGAGUGGAUCACGAGGUCAGGAGAUCAAGACCAUCCUGGCUAACACAGUGAAACCCUGUCUCUAUUAAAAAUACAAAAAAUUAGCCAGGCGUGGUGGUGGGCGCCUAUAGCUCCAGCUGCUCGGGAGGCUGAGGCAGGAGAAUGGUGUGAACCCGGGAGGUGGAGGUUGCAGUGAGCCGAGAUCGUGCCACUGCACUCCAGCCUGGGUGACAGAGCAAGACUCCGUCUCAAAAAAAACUCAGAUGAACUAUAGCUAAGUCAGUGCUCUUGACACUUUUUUAGCAAUAGUAGCUUUGUUUCUCACAGAAAAAACAAAAUUUUCUGUGGAACCACACUAUUUAAAACAUAAGCAAUAUUAGUAUCAACUUGUAUAAUUUAUAGAUCUACUGAUAAAAACAAUCAAGAAUAGUCUACCUUAAUUGAAUCAGGAGGAGAUAACUGCAGUCUUACAUCAGCCAUACUCGUAUCCAUGAAAUAUGAGUCAGUCAUUUGCACAACUCCCUGAGUCACCUUCUGGAACACAGAAAACACUGAGCCAAGUUAGCCCAGGACCUGAACCUUUUGUGGAAAGGAAAAUCUGUAGUGUCUCCUCAGAGUAUGGCUGCCCUUUCACCUGGUAGUCAGUUUCUCAUGACGGUUACUCGAGCAUUUAUAAGGCAGUUGUGAAAUAACCAAGACAUUCUGUGUGUUGUGCUACUGAUGCUCCUCCUGUCACCGACCUCCUCUCCAAAUGAGGCCUGCCUUUUGUCCUUGGUAGUAGGCAGUCCACAGUGUAACCAGCUACAGGGGAAGUAUUUACUUUGAUAGCCACUUGACCUUGAUCAAGUCAGGUGACUCAUUUCUGGAUAACAUUUUUGAGAGUAUACUGAGCCAGGCACCUUGAGGAUACGAAAGUGGAUUAUAGUUUCCAUUCUGGAGAAACUCACAGUCCAGUAAGUUAAACAAUCACAAGAACAAGUUUCCAGCAAUGAGAGUGAUUACAGCCACUGAGUGGUGAAAUCUGAGAAAUGCAAAGCCUGCCGCCUAUAAAUACCUACAUUUAUCGCCUGGGCAUAUACCUAAAAUUCCACCAUGAGAAAUAUAUUUAUAUGAAAUUAGAAACUACCCAGAAAUUGUGCGUCCAAAUAAAAAUUCCCACAAGAAAUAAGGAUGGCUAAUAGUUUUAAGUAGUAGUGUCAAGUCUUUUGGACCAGAGUAACUGCCAGGGACGUUGUGUUGAGGAUUCUGAGGUCAUGUUCCAGCUUAGCCGAGAAGGGAGCCACCAUGAGGGAACGAGUGAGGGAGGGUAGCACUUGUGCCCCAUAUUUUUUCCUAAGUAAAUCAUUUGUUGAUGGAAUGCAUGAUGAAACAGGGACAGCCAGGGUCUCUGGCAUCUGGGAGAAAGCCCACUUGGAAACUGAUUUAUCUACCUCACCACUGCAAGUUCACCAUUUGUCCCCAGACUAAAUGGCCUUAGGAAGCCCAGGCUCUGUCUUGUCGAACUCUACCUUCUUUAUCCUUCCAUACUUUUCAAGAAGAGAAAUGGUAUAUAUAUGUGGGAUCCUUGAGAACUAGGAUGUACCUGUGAGCAGGCAAAGUGUAGCAUCUAGCAGGGUCAGGCAUAAGUUGGAAGUGAGAGAGGUGGCUACUGUGCUCCCCAAUGGCUGUUCUCCCAUCUCCCAUAGUUUCAAGGCCUGUUUUGUGAGGAACAGCAGUAUGCCCAGCUCAAAGAUGACAGCUGGCCACAGGACUAAGUCUGGCCAAUAAGAUGUGAGUGGACGCUUCCAGAAAAGCUCUCUAAAGAGGCUACCUCUAGCCAGGCGCAGUGGCUCACGCCUGUAAUCCUAGCACUUUGGGAGGCCAAGGCAGUGGAUCACCUGAGGUCGAGAGUUCAAGACCAGCCUGGCCAACAUGGCAAAACCCCGUCUCUACUAAACAUACAAAAAUUAGCCGGGCAUGGCCGUGCCGCAUGCCUGUAAUCCCAGCUACUCAGGAGGCUGAGGAGGGAGAACUGCUUGAACCCAGGAGGUGGAGGUUUGCAGUGAGCUGAGAUGUUGCCACUGCACUCCAGCCUGCACGACAGGAGCGAGCCUCCAUCUCAAAAAAAAAAAAAAAAUAAAAGCUGCCUCUUCUCUGCUUCUUGGAGUAUGGUCAGGAUAGCUGGAAUUCUAGCAUCCAGUUUUGAAUGCCAAGUGACCUUGAAGAUAGAAGCCAUGAACUAAGAUAAUGUCCCUGUGUAAGCUUCUUUUACAUGAGAGAAAUAAACUGUGUGUAUAAAUCAUUGUUAUUUUGAAUUCCCAAGUUGUAUGCAGGCAAAUGUAAUCCCGAUCUAGCCAGGAAUUGGUAUUAUUCAUUGAUAAGAGCUUCAUAUAUUCAUGUUGACAGUUUUCCUUGAUUGGCCCCCAGAUGAUAGGUAUUGUGACCAAGACCUGUGGGGCUAUCAUGUGUACUUGGCUCCCUAUAGGAGAAUCCAGGAUGGAAUGGAAUGAUACAGUAGGCAGCCUCUGGAGCCAAGAUACGGUAUAGGUAGGAAAAAGAAAUGAUUCACCCAAGAGGCAGAUUAGGCCCAUGAAAAUUAGGAUUGUCAGAUGCAUUACUUUAAUACAGCACUUCUUCAGUAUUCCCAGAACUGUAGCUAAUGGUUCCUCUGAAUAGGAAGCUCCUUGAAUAUACCCUGGCAAGAAAUCUUUCUAUCCAAGGUGACUGGCAUUGGGAGGGGAUUUAUUGAGUGUCUCCCUCGAGCCAGGCACUUUCACAUACCUUAAUCUUAGUUAACUGGCUUCACUUCAGACCCUGUCCCUAACAGGACAAAACCCAACAGCAUUUUGAAAGCAAAACAGGGAUAGUUGAUGAGUUGUAUUAACGUACUUGUCUCUGUCUCACGUUAGUAACCUCCAAGGAACUCAAAACGCACUGCAGCUAUAAUUCGACAUUAAAAUAGCCCUGGGCCCCCCAGGAGCAGCUCAAUAGACCCUACUGAAGCAGGCGGUCCUGUCCCUCCCCUGCUUAAAAUCUGUCAGUAGCUUCUCAUUGUUUUUAACUAAAAACCCAGCCCACCUGACAGUCAGGUUGGCCUGCUCGCCAGGCUUUCUCCCCAGCUGCUCAAACCUGCUCACAACUCCCUCUGUGUCUGCCACUCUGGCCUCUCACUUUACUCCUGUGACCUCGUCCCUCUGAGCACCAUUCCUCCCCACCUCUGCAUGUCUUUAAUCUGACUUAAGCUUCAAGGCCUGGCACAAACAAUGCUUUUCCUUUGUCCUUCAUACUGGAGAUCAUAAACUCGCAUAGAUUCUCUCUGAAUAAAUAAAUAUUUUCCAUGCCAGUUAGCAUUUUUUUAAAACUAUAAUGACUGCAAAAUAUAUUGUAUUAGGUGUACUCUAACUUAUUUAACCUCUCCCCAAAGAAUGGACAUUUCAUUUGUUUCUUUUUCAGGAUGAUAAAAAACAGUUACGGGAUGAAAAAAUUUUUUUUUAUUUUUUAUUUUUAGUAGAGAUGGGGUUUCACCAUGUUAGCCAGGAUGAUCUCGAUCUCCUGACCUUGUGAUCCACCCAUCUGGGCCUCCCAAAGUGCUGGGAUUACAGGCAUGAGCCACUGCACCCGGCCGGGGAUGAACAUUUUUAUAUGCUAAUCUUUGUCAGCAUCUGCUCAUUUCUAUAAAAGGAAUCAUUAGAAUUGGAAUUCCUAGGUCAUUUUGACCAAAAAGGAACAUUUUUAAAUCUCUUAAUAUUGCCAUAUGACAUCUUAGAAAGUUUACAUCAUUUUACACAAAUAAUUGUUUCCUUAUCGAUGUUCCAAACCUAGAGAACUUUUGGUCAUUCUGUGAUCUGUAAUUGGAGAAAUUUCCAUUGCUCUAGCAGCAUUUUAUACAUACUUAUCAAGAUGUAUUAUGAUUUAUACACAUUUAUCAAGAUGUAUUAUGUUUUACUUGCAUUUCUCCAAGUAAGCUCUGAAGUGGAAAACAGAACUUGUUUUACUCUUUGUAGCACAGUACUGAGAACAGUAACACCUAACAGGCCCUUUCUAGGUAAAUCUGCAGAAACAGUAAUUGUCUCAAUCUCAGUUUCCCUGUGGUAGACCAAAAUAAAGCUUUGCAUACCUAACCUAGGGAAGCUGCAUACAGUUGGAGAGCUGGAUUCAACUAAACCUGGCCUGACAGCUCUUCAACAUGUUUUUCUUUUCCAAGUUCCACAUUGCUCACUGUGUCCUUUUAACACUCCUGUUUUUUAUUUUAUCCAUCACACGAAGUUGUAGUUGGUUCUGCCUGCAGUGUUUCUCCAUGAUGUAAUAUAACCUCAUUAUAUACACUCAGGAGCCUGAGAAAUGAGUAUCACAAACCACAGAGUCUUCUUGUUGCUUAGUUACUAUCCUGCAUUUCCUGGAGACUUUACCUUGGCAAAGUAUAUGAUGCUACGUUUUAAUGAAUGUUGAUUGGUCACUGUAUGAUAAAUGCCAGGAAAAACAAUGAAUGAUAAAAAGAAGUGUAAAUCCCACUCUUCUGCCUAUAUCCCAGCUCCAUUUUCACGUCUUUUGGUAUCAGCCCCAGGAUUUGGGGUCUUCUGUUUGAAAAUGAGAUCAGUUCCGUAACAUCUGUAUAGCUUUGCUUGCUAUGGUACUGGGCUGGAAAGAGGCAGGUCAAAGCGAGUGCCCCCCUCACUGGUGUGCCCUGAGGAUGCAGAGGCCCUCUUUGCCUGGUGAUAACACCUUCAAUGCCCGUUAGGGGGCCCAAAAUUGCCAGUUUAUUAUCCCUUUGGGACUGAUGCCUUAAAAUCUCAUUUUGUCUUUGAGAAGUGGUAUUUGGAAUAUUCACACAUCAAAGUGUUAUCGUUCUCUGCUAGCACAGUACCAGCUAGUUUAUCUUAGCCAGCUGGCUUACCUCUCAAGGCACUAAAGGAACGGAAAAACACAGGGCAAUCUCUGUAAGCCUCGUUCCUUCACUUGGUAACCUCUGAAAAGCUAGAGAGAAAGGACCAGUGAGAGAACAGGAUCAGCUCUUGCUGGGGGUCCAGCCAGGAGCCACCAUGGAGGGCCUGGAGCACUUAGAGGAAAACAUGGGGACAUCAGGUAUGCAGGAGAUCAGGCAAAAAACAGUAAAGUCAGCUUAGGAAAGACUCGUACCUCUCACCCCCACUGCCUCAACCUCCUCCAAAGUGUAGAGUUCAUAGCUUUUCCUUGGGAAGCUUCUGUGUAUACAGUGCUCAACAGAAGAGAGGAACAGGAUUUAGGUUACUAUCUUCCAUACCCUAAAAGUGAACAUUGUAAUAUUGCAAAUACAGUAGCAGAAGGAAAGCACUUCUCAGGAAGUAAAAAUACAUCUACUCCUGCUAACAGUUUUCUCCAUUCACAAAAUAUUACUGAUUUUUUUAAAAUUUGGAAAGAAUAUUAAUAUUCAUAGAUGUUAGAUUAGUUGGGCAAAAUAUGCUAAAAAUUGCCAUUUAAUUUAUAAUAGUGAAAAACAAUGCAACCUAAAUGCCCAUGAAUGAUAACUAAUUACAUACAGUGGACUACAAUGGAAUUCUAUGAAGUCAUAAAAAUAAGGAUGUACAUCUGUAUUUAUUGUUAUAGAAAGAAAGCCACGAAAUAUUGUUGAGAGAGAAAGCAGAUUGCAAAACUGAAUAUAUAUGCAAAGAGAUGUUUUUAGGGAUAUUCACUGUUAAACAGUGAUUAACUUAGUUGACUUUUUUUUCCUCUGUUCCUUCUUUUUUCUUUUUUACUUUAAAUAUUUAUCUUUUUUAAAAGAAAUAAUACAUUUCCUCCCUCCAAAAAAGAAUAGCCUAGCGAAAUAUUUUUACUUCAAAUGCUUUUCCCCUUAUUAAUCUUUGUAUAAACCAUUGUGGUUUGCUAAAACAAGGAAGGUUGUAGAGUAGAAUCCAUGCCCACGUUAGAACAAAAUCCAGGCAGGAAGACACUUCAUACGUGGUUAUAAGACCAGGAGGACGAGGAGACAAAGGGAAGCAAUGGUGUUUGUUUGUUUGUUUGUUUGUUUUAAGAGACAGUGUCACUCUGUCACCCAGGUUGGAGUACAGUGGCACCAUCAUAGCUCAGUGCAGCCUCCAACCCCUGGGUUCCAGCGAUCCUCCCACCUAAGCCUCUCUAGUAUCUGGGACUACCGGUAUGCACCACCACAUCCAGCCAAUUUUUAAUUUUUCUUUUUUUGAGACAGGGUCUUGCUAUGUUGCCCAGGCUGGUCUCAAACUCCUAGGCUCAAGCAAACCUCCCAAAGCACUGGGAUUACACGUGUGAGCCACCACACCCGGCCUAGAAGCAAUGGUUCUGAUCCAGGAAAAGUGCAGCCUGGAAACUCAGCAAUCUGUACAGAAUCCUAGCUCUUAGACUAAAAGGCAUCAACUGGUACAAUUUCUUGCCUUUGGGCACUGAACGUGUUAGCUUCUAUUUUAUUUAACUUACUGUAAAAUUAUAUUAGCUAUGCUGCCACUUAAGCCAAGAUGCUUUCUGUCUAGUCACUUCGGUUCCAUCCUUUUGAGCGCCCUGCCGUUUCAUUGCCUCUCCUUUCUCAUUCCUCUCCCCAAGGCUGUACUUUGAGUAACUGUAUGUGCAUUUUCCUGUGCCUUUUCAUUAUUAAAACACUGUAAAAGGUAAUGUCUCCAAAAUGCAAACCAUAGUCUUCUCCAUUGAAAAAUAUUUUCCAGGCCAGGCACUCCACUGUGCCACUGCACUCCACCUGGAUGACAGAGUGAGACUCUGUCUCAAAAAAAAAACAAAAAACUCAUUAAACUGUAAAAUGGGCGCAUUUUAUUUUAUGUAAACUGUAUCUCAGUAAAGUUUAUUUAUUUAUUUUUGAGACAAAGUCUUGCCCUGUUGCCUAGGUUAAAGUGCAGUGGCAUAAUCAUGGCUCCCUGCAGCCUUGAACUCCUGGGCUCAAGCGAUCCUCCUACCUCAGCCUCCUCCCAAGUAUUUGGGACCACGGGCAUGUGCCACCAUGCCCAGCUAAUUUUUUUUUAAGAGAUGGCGUCUUGCUAUGUUGCCCAGGCUGGUCUCGAACUUCUGACCACAAGAGAUCCUCCUGUCUUGGCUUCCCAAAGUUUUGGGAUUACAGGCAUGAACCACCAGGCCUGACCAAAGUUGAUUUUAAAAAAUGAAAGGGGGGCCAAGCGCAGUGACUCAACCCUUAUAAUCCCAGCACUUUGGGAGGCCGAGGCGGGUGGAUCACCUGAGAUAGGGAGUUCAAGACCAGCCUGAUCAACAUGGAGAAACUCUGUCUCUACUAAAAAAUACAAAAUUAGCUGGGAGUGGUGGCGCAUGCCUGUAAUCCCAGCUACUCGGGAGGCCUCAGCUUGAACCCUGUAGGCAGAGGCUGCAGUGAGCUGAGAUCACGCCAUUGCACUCCAGCCUGAGCAACAAGAGCGAAACUCUGUCUCAAAAAAAAAAAAAAAAAGGGUCUGUGCUUGGUGGCUCACACCUGCAAUCCCAGCACUUUGGGAGGCCAAGGUGGGUGAAUCACCUGAGGUCAGGAGUUCGAGACCAGCCUGGCCAACGUGGUGAAACCCCUCUCUACUAAAAAUAAAAAAAUUAGCCAGGUGUGAUGGCGCACGCCUGUAGUCCCAGCUACUCAGGAGGCUGAGGCACAAGAAUUGCUUGAACCUAGGAGGCAGAGGUUGCAGUGAGCCGAGAUCAUGCCACUGCAUUCCAGCCUGGGUGACAGAGUGAGACUCCAUCUCAAAAAACAACAAAAAUGAAAGGGAAAUAAGAGUCAUUACCAAUAUAAUUAGGUUUAAAUUUUUAGUUAAAAUCAAAUUUUAACUGGGAUUGCCAAAAAUGUCCUUAACUUCAUAUCUCCAAAUAAAAUGUCUGCAGUUAAUUUAUGUUGUUUAUACAGCUAGCUAAUUCUCUAUAUUUUUAUAGUAUGUUGACACUUAAAAUUUCAAUCUCUUCUAGUGGUUCCAUGAGUGGGACUGAGGGGAUGAUGGGUGUUCUCAUUAUAGCCUUCAGAAGGCUGCCUAUAUAUAAGUGUGCACAAAUAACUAUUAUUCAGAGAAUUAGAAUCAUCACAAAAUAUCCUUUAUGAAGGAUAAAUAUAGGCUAAUUUAUCCUUUAUGACUGUUAAAUAUAGGCUAAUGUUUCUUUUAUUCUUCAGACCCAUUUCAACUUUAUAGAAAAAAAAGUAUGCACAAAAGCAGCACUCUAUAAUUAAAAAAAAUUCCUUAUUGGUCUUUUGGAUUUUGGUUCUGCAUAAGUAUGAGUUUCUCAUCAGGCCUCUCUAGACUACUAAAGCCUAAAGUGAUGCUUCCCCCAUCUCAGCUCUUAGAGGAAUUACUGGGUGUCUUGUUUAUUUGGCAAUUCCGUGCUUACAAACUCUUUUCAAUGAGAUCUUCAGCUCCUUGAGACCACAGUAGAUACCUACGUAUUUGUCGGUGUAAUUUUGUUGUGUUGAUUUACUGAAUUCAAAGGGUUUGUACAAAUACUUUGUUUACAGGGUUUCAUUACAAAUCCAAAUAAGCUCAUAUGCUUAGUAAUUCCAAAAAUGUUAUAGGUAUUCAGAUUAGCAUUGCUCAUUCAUGCCAUUUAAUUUACAGAGCUCAGCUGCAGUAAUUUUCUCCAGUGGAUGAUGUAAGGAAGGCAUUGGCAGAGGAGUAAGAGACUUGGCUUCAGAGUGGGCAGUAAUAGGGCUAAAUCUGGUUUUACAAAGCAGGUACUGUAAAGCUCUCAUUGCCUUUCUGAGGACAAGGCUUUGAGCUAUGAGUGCCAGGGUCGUCUGUCUAAGUGGAGGCUUCUUAAAGGAAUUGAGCCUCGUUUCCUGGGUUUGAGGUGUAUUCUUUUUCACAUUCCCUUUGUACACCAAAUAUAUUUAGUAUUUAUUAUCUUUGAAGUUUAGACCUUUGGAAUUUUUUUUUUUUUUUGAGGCAAAGUCUCACUGUAGCCCAGGCUGGAGUGCAGUGGUGUGAUCUCAGCUCAUUGCAACCUCUGCCUCCUAGGUUCAAGCGAUUCUCCUAUAUCAGCCUCCUGAGUAGCGAGGACUACAGGCACGUGCCCACCAUGCCCUGCUAAUUUUUGUAUUUUUAGUAGAGACAGGGUUUCACCAUGUUGGCCAGGCUGGUCUCAAACUCCUGACCUCAGGUGAUCUGCCUUCCCUGGCCUCCGGACAUGCUGGGAUUACAGGUGGGAGCCACCACGCCAGGCCACAGUUUGAUGAGUUUUGAGAAAGUAAUAUACGCAUGUAACCACCAUCACCACAAUCAAGAUCUAGAACAUUUCCAUCACCCCAAAAUUCCCUGGUACUCGUCCCUGGUCCCAGGCAAGCCCUGAUCUGUUUUCUGUCACUGUGGAUCAGAUUUGUCUUUUCUAGAGUCUCAUAAAAAUGUGAUCUUAUAAAAUGUAUAGACUCUUGUGUGUAAGGUUUCUUUUCCUCAGCAUAAUGUUUUUAGACUUGUCUAUGUUGCAUGAAUGAGUGGUUCAUUUCUGUUUAUCACUGAGUAUUUUUCCAGUGUAUGUAUAUACCACAAUUUGUUUAUAUACCACAAAUGUUGAUGGACAUUUAGGCUUUGUCCAGUUUUGUCUAUUAUGAAUAAAGCCAUUAUGAACAUCUAUGUACAAGUUUUUGUGUGGACAUGUUUUCUCUUGGGUAAAUAUCUAGGAGUAAGACUACUGGGUUGUAUGCUAAGUGUAUGUUUAAUUUUAAAAGAAAUGGCAGCCGAGUGCGGUGGCUCAUGCCUGUAAUCUUAGCAAUUUGGGAGGCCGAGGCGGGCAGAUCACCUGAGGUCAGGAGUUCGAGACCAGCCUGGCCAACAUGACGAAACCCUGUGUCUACUAAAAAUACAAAAAAAAUUUGCCACGCAUGGUGGCACACACCUGUAAUCCCGCUACUUGGGAGGCUAAGGCAGGAGAAUCGCUUGAACCUGGGAGGUGGAGGUGAGACUGAGCCAAGCUCACACCACUGUACUCCAGCCUGAGCGACAGAGCGAGACUCCAUCUCAAAAAAAAUAAAAAAUGGCCAAACUGUUUUCCAAAGUCCUGGUACCAUCUUACAUCCUACCGGUAAAGUUAUGAGAGUUGUAGUUGCCCUACAUUCUCACCAAUACUUGCUAUUAUCAGUCUUUUUAAUUUUCACCAUCCUAAUGGAUACGUAGUGGUAUCUCACUGUGGUUUUACUUUGCAUUUCCCUGAUGGCUAAUGAUGUUGACAUAUUUUUGUGUGCAUGUUGGAUACUAAUAUAUCUUUGUAAAGUGCCUAUUCAGUGUCUUUUCCAAUUUAGUUGGGUUGCUAAAAAGUCUUCAUAUAUUCCAGAUACAAUACCUUUGGCAGGUAUGUAGAUAUGUGUUGUGUGACUAUUUUCUCCCAGUCUGUGACUUGUCUUCAUUUUGUUAGCAUUGUCUUUUGAAGAGCAGAAGUCUUUAACUUUGUAAAAGUCUAAUUUUUUGCUAUCUUCUUUUAUAGCUCUUGUCUUUUUUUGUUUUUUUGUGUGUGUGUAUUCAAUUAUCUAAGAACUCUUUGACUCCCUUCAGAUCAUGUAAAUGUUCUCCUGUUUUAUUUUAGAAAUUUUAAUUUUACCUUUUUUUUUUUUUUUGAGACAGAGUCUUGCUCUGUCACCCAGGCUGGAGUGUAGUGACGUGAUCUCAGCUCACCGCAGCCUCUGCCUCCCAGGUUCCAGCAAUUCUGCCUCAGCUUCCCAAGUAGCUGGGACUACAGGAGGCAAGCACUGCGAUGCCCAGCUAAUUUUUGUAUUUUUAGUAGAGACAGGGUUUCACCAUGUUGGCCAGUAUGGUCUUGAUCUCCUGACCUGGUGAUCCACCCGCUUCGUUCUCCCAUAGUGCUGGGAUUACAGGCGUGAGCCACCGCACCCAUCCAAGUUUUACCUUUUAAGCUUAGGUACAUGAUCCAAUUUGAGGUGAAUUUUGUGUAUGAGUAAGUUAAUAAUCAAUGUUCAUUUUUUCCCAUAUGGAUAUCCAGUUUUUCCGGUACCAUUUGUUGAAAAGACUGUCUUUCCCCUAUUGACUUACUGUGGCCACUUUGUCAAAAAUUACUUGCCCAUAGACAUGCGGGUUCAUUUAUUUUGUUCCAUUGAUCCAAAUGUUGAUCCUUUAAUAAUAAUGUAGCUUUAUAGUCAGUCUUGAAAUUUGAUAGUUUGAAUAUUCCAACUUUGUUGUUCUUUUUCAAAAAUUUUUUGCAUUCUAAGUCCUUUGUGUUUUUAUAUAAAUUUUAGAAUAAGUUAUGUAAGUGCCUGCUGGGAUUUUCUUUUUUUUGAGACAGGGUCUUACUAUGUCACCCAGACUGAAGUGCAGUGGCAUGAUCACAGGUCAUUGCAUCCUCAACCACCCAGACUCAAGCAAUCCUCCUGUCUCAGCCUUCCAAGUAACUGAGACCACAGAAAUAACCAUGGAUAUGGGUAGAGACAGAGCCAUAUGGAAUGCACACUGCAGUGGUGAACACAUGGCCCAGCUCUGCCAUCAAGGAGAAGGUGAGAACAUGGGGGAAGAUUUUAUCGAAGUUUCUUUUCUGGGGCAUAUGCUCAGGUUAAACACCUGCUCUGUAUCUCUAGCUUCUGACUCCUACCCCUGGCCAGCUCUGUUACUCUAGUACACUGCUAGGCAGGCAGAGUAUGGCCAAAGUAUUCACAACAGUGCAUCACUAAAUCAACUGGGAUCCACACAAUGGAAUAUCCUAAUGCAUCAUUAAAAAUCACAUUGUAAAAGAAGAUUUUAUAACAGAAAAAAAUGCACUGUAUAUGAUACAUUUUUAAAAUGUUACUUAUGCCAGUCACAAUAAAAGACAAUUACACUUAUAUGGGAUAGAGUAGUCAAUAUUAUAGAGACAGAAGGUAGAAAUGGGUCUGGGUGGAAAUUAGAAUGAGAUGUUCUUAGCAUUCCAGUUUUACAAGAUGAAAAGAGUAACGGAGACAGAUGGCAGUGGUGGUUGCAUGACAUUAUGAAUGUACAUAAUUAAAAAUGGGUAAGAUGGCACAGUGAGAUACCAUCUCACACCAGUCAAAAUGGCUAUUACUAAAAAGUCAAAAAAAUAACAGAUGCUGGGGAGCUUGUAGAGAAAAGGGAAUGCUUAUACACUGCUAGUGGCAGUGUAAGUUAGUCCAGCCACUGUGGCAAUUCCUCAAAGAACUUAGAACUAUCAUUUGACCCAGCAAUCCCAUUACUGGGUAUAUACCCAAAGGAAUAUAAAUUGUUCUGCCUUAAAGACACAUGCAUGUGAUUGUUCAUUGCAGCACUCUUUAUAAUAACAAAGACAUGGAAUCAACCUAAAUGCUCAUCAACAGUAGACUGGAUAAAGAAAAUGUGGUUCAUAUACACCAUGGAAUACUAUGCAGCCAUAAAAAAGAAUGAGAUUAUUUCCUUUGCAGGAACAUGAAUGGAGCUGGAGGCCAUCAUCCUUAGUGAACUAACACAGGAGCAGAAAACCAAAUACCACAUGUUCUCAUGUGUAAGUGGGAGCUAAAUGAUGAGAACACAUGGACACAAAGAGGGGAACAACAGACACUGAAGCCUCCUUGAGGGAGGAGGGUAAGAGGAAGGAGAAGAUCAGAAAAGAUAACUACCAGGUACUAUGGUAGCUUAGUACCUGGGUGAUGAAAUAAUCUGUACACCCAACCCUCAUGACAGAAGUUUACCUGUGUAACAAACCUGCACAUGUAUCCCUGAAACUAAAAGUUUUUUAAAAAGUUAUUUAAUAUAUAUAUAUUUUUUUGAGACGGAGUUUUGCUCUUGUUGCCCAGGCUGGAGUGCGGUGGCGCAAUUUCGGCUCACCACAACCUCCGCCUCCCAGGUUCAAGCUAUUCCCCUGCCUCAGCCUCCCUAGUAGCUGGGAUUACAGGCUUGUGCCACCACGCCGGCUAAUUUUGUAUUUUUUGUAGAGACGGGGUUUCUCCAUGUUGGUCAGGCUGGUCUCGAACUCCCGACCUCAGGUGAUCCACCCCCCUCGGCCUCCCAAAGUGCUAGGAUUACAGGCAUGAGCCACUGCGCCCGGCAAAAAGUUAUUUAAUAUUAAUGGGACAAUACUCAUUGCAAGAAUCAGACUUCAAUUGCUAGCAUAAGUAAAUGACAGGCAGGAGAUAUUGAAAAUGCAAUCUUAUAGACAUUCAAGGAGAGGACGCAGGACAUUUCUGUGUCAUAAAUGUACUAUGGAAAAUAAAAAUGAGAAAAAUGGAAAUAAAAUACAAGAAAAGGUUAUGAUAAAUUUCAUAUUAUUUUACCACAAUAAAAAAAUUUUAAUAAAUUAUAAAUGGUGUGAUAUGUUUUGCCUGUGUUCCACCCAAAUCUCAUCUUGAAUUAGAGCUCCCACAAUUCCCACGUGUUGUGGCUGGGACCCUGUGGGAGAUAAUUGAAUCAUGGGGGCAGUUUACCCCAUACUGUUCUCUUGGUGGUGAAUAAGUCUCAUGAGAGUUGAUGGUUUGAUAAGGGGUUUCCCCUUUUGCUUGGCUCUCAUUCUCUCUUGACUGCCACCAUGUAAGAUGUGCCUUUUGCCUUCCACCAUGAUUGUGAAGCCUCCCAGCCACAUGGAACUGUGAGUCCAUUAAACCUUUUUCUUUACAAAUUACCCAGUCUCGAGUAUGUCUUUAUCAGCAGUGAGAGAACAGACUAAUAUGAGUGUGAUCUAAUUAACAUAAAGGGAGAAUGAGGA
rnacentral:lncRNA from 1 species